AUUUCAUCGCAGACCCUAUGUCUUCUCAUGGUUCAAGGAUGUUUUGGAGUUUCAGUUGUCAUGACAACACAUACCGGUUGUAACUGCUGUGAUGAUAACGUCAUCUGCGACGAUUUAUUCGUAAAUGUAAUUGUUUUAGUCUGGUUCUUUUUGCGGCAUGGGAAACGUUAUUUAAACGUUAGUUUAUUAAAAUUAGAAACUUUGCGUCUUGCGAACCCAAAGAGUUUGACGGAUUUGUGAUGUGACCAAAUGAUAGAUUCUGAAUGAUUAAACAUCAUAAAAUUC